AUUAGCAGCGUAGUCAAGGAAAGCCAAAGUCAGGGGAAGCCAGAGAUCAGAGUAGUCCAGGAGGAAAGCCAAGGUCAGAAGCCGGAAUCCGACAGGAAACGCUGGAACGCUGAUAAGAAGAGACAGGAACCAAACAAGGAAACCAGAGUCAAUGAACUGACACUGCCCUCAGGGAGAGGCAGUGUCUUAUACCUGGCUAAUUGGUGAUCAGCCACAGAAUAACGUCCAGC
rnacentral:lncRNA from 1 species